rnacentral:rRNA from 1 species
GACGAACGCUGGCGGCGUGCUUAACACAUGCAAGUCGAACGAGACGAUUGAAAGCUUGCUUUUAAAAGUCGAGUGGCAAACGGGUGAGUAACGCGUAGACAACCUGCCUUUGAGAUGGGGACAACAGUUCGAAAGGACUGCUAAUACCGAAUGUUGUAUAUUUUCCACAUGGAAGAUAUAUUAAAGAUGGCCUCUAUUUAUAAGCUAUCGCUCAAAGAUGGGUCUGCGUCUGAUUAGCUAGUUGGUGGGGUAACGGCCUACCAAGGCGACGAUCAGUAGCCGGUCGGAGAGGAUGAACGGCCACAUUGGGACUGAGACACGGCCCAGACUCCUACGGGAGGCAGCAGUGGGGAAUCUUCCGCAAUGGACGAAAGUCUGACGGAGCAACGCCGCGUGAGUGAUGAAGGUUUUCGGAUCGUAAAACUCUGUUGUUAAGGACGAAUGUAUAGAUUGUGAAUAAUGGUUUAUAAUGACGGUACUUAACGAGGAAGCCACGGCUAACUACGUGCCAGCCGCCGCCGUAA